CCGAAUGGGGAAACCCAGUGUGAUUCGUCACACUAUCAUUAACUGAAUCCAUAGGUUAAUGAGGCGAACCGGGGGAACUGAAACAUCUAAGUACCCCGAGGAAAAGAAAUCAACCGAGAUUCCCCCAGUAGCGGCGAGCGAACGGGGAGGAGCCCAGAGCCUGAAUCAGCAUGUGUGUUAGUGGAAGCGUCUGGAAAGGCGCGCGAUACAGGGUGACAGCCCCGUACACAAAAGCGCAUGUGCUGUGAGCUCGAUGAGUAGGGCGGGACACGUGGUAUCCUGUCUGAAUAUGGGGGGACCAUCCUCCAAGGCUAAAUACUCCUGACUGACCGAUAGUGAACCAGUACCGUGAGGGAAAGGCGAAAAGAACCCCGGCGAGGGGAGUGAAAAAGAACCUGAAACCGUGUACGUACAAGCAGUGGGAGCNNNNNNNNNNNNNNNNNNNNNNNNNNNNNNNNNGGCGUUAAGUUGCAGGGUAUAGACCCGAAACCCGGUGAUCUAGCCAUGGGCAGGUUGAAGGUUGGGUAACACUAACUGGAGGACCGAACCGACUAAUGUUGAAAAAUUAGCGGAUGACCUGUGGCUGGGGGUGAAAGGCCAAUCAAACCGGGAGAUAGCUGGUUCUCCCCGAAAGCUAUUUAGGUAGCGCCUCGUGAAUUCAUCUCCGGGGGUAGAGCACUGUUUCGGCUAGGGGGCCAUCCCGGCUUACCAACCCGAUGCAAACUGCGAAUACCGGAGAAUGUUAUCACGGGAGACACACGGCGGGUGCUAACGUCCGUCGUGAAGAGGGAAACAACCCAGACCGCCAGCUAAGGUCCCAAAGUCAUGGUUAAGUGGGAAACGAUGUGGGAAGGCCCAGACAGCCAGGAUGUUGGCUUAGAAGCAGCCAUCAUUUAAAGAAAGCGUAAUAGCUCACUGGUCGAGUCGGCCUGCGCGGAAGAUGUAACGGGGCUAAACCAUGCACCGAAGCUGCGGCAGCGAACGUAUCACCCAAGACAACUUUACGGAGUUGACGAUUGACGGAGCGAAGCGACGUCAAAGCGUUCAUUAAAGUCGAGUUGGCUUAGGGAUACGUUCGUUGGGUAGGGGAGCGUUCUGUAAGCCUGUGAAGGUGUGUCGUGAGGCAUGCUGGAGGUAUCAGAAGUGCGAAUGCUGACAUAAGUAACGAUAAAGCGGGUGAAAAGCCCGCUCGCCGGAAGACCAAGGGUUCCUGUCCAACGUUAAUCGGGGCAGGGUGAGUCGACCCCUAAGGCGAGGCCGAAAGGCGUAGUCGAUGGGAAACGGGUUAAUAUUCCCGUACUUGGUGUUACUGCGAAGGGGGGACGGAGAAGGCUAUGUUGGCCGGGCGACGGUUGUCCCGGUUUAAGCGUGUAGGUGUGUGUUCCAGGUAAAUCCGGUUCACUUUAACACUGAGGCGUGACGACGAGGCACUACGGUGCUGAAGCAACAAAUGCCCUGCUUCCAGGAAAAGCCUCUAAGCAUCAGGUAACACGAAAUCGUACCCCAAACCGACACAGGUGGUCAGGUAGAGAAUACCAAGGCGCUUGAGAGAACUCGGGUGAAGGAACUAGGCAAAAUGGUGCCGUAACUUCGGGAGAAGGCACGCUGACACGUAGGUGAAGUGAUUUACUCAUGGAGCUGAAGUCAGUCGAAGAUACCAGCUGGCUGCAACUGUUUAUUAAAAACACAGCACUGUGCAAACACGAAAGUGGACGUAUACGGUGUGACGCCUGCCCGGUGCCGGAAGGUUAAUUGAUGGGGUCAGCGCAAGCGAAGCUCCUGAUCGAAGCCCCGGUAAACGGCGGCCGUAACUAUAACGGUCCUAAGGUAGCGAAAUUCCUUGUCGGGUAAGUUCCGACCUGCACGAAUGGCGUAAUGAUGGCCAGGCUGUCUCCACCCGAGACUCAGUGAAAUUGAACUCGCUGUGAAGAUGCAGUGUACCCGCGGCAAGACGGAAAGACCCCGUGAACCUUUACUAUAGCUUGACACUGAACAUUGAGCCUUGAUGUGUAGGAUAGGUGGGAGGCUUUGAAGUGUGGACGCCAGUCUGCAUGGAGCCGACCUUGAAAUACCACCCUUUAAUGUUUGAUGUUCUAACGUGGACCCGUAAUCCGGGUUGCGGACAGUGUCUGGUGGGUAGUUUGACUGGGGCGGUCUCCUCCUAAAGAGUAACGGAGGAGCACGAAGGUUGGCUAAUCCUGGUCGGACAUCAGGAGGUUAGUGCAAUGGCAUAAGCCAGCUUGACUGCGAGCGUGACGGCGCGAGCAGGUGCGAAAGCAGGUCAUAGUGAUCCGGUGGUUCUGAAUGGAAGGGCCAUCGCUCAACGGAUAAAAGGUACUCCGGGGAUAACAGGCUGAUACCGCCCAAGAGUUCAUAUCGACGGCGGUGUUUGGCACCUCGAUGUCGGCUCAUCACAUCCUGGGGCUGAAGUAGGUCCCAAGGGUAUGGCUGUUCGCCAUUUAAAGUGGUACGCGAGCUGGGUUUAGAACGUCGUGAGACAGUUCGGUCCCUAUCUGCCGUGGGCGCUGGAGAACUGAGGGGGGCUGCUCCUAGUACGAGAGGACCGGAGUGGACGCAUCACUGGUGUUCGGGUUGUCAUGCCAAUGGCACUGCCCGGUAGCUAAAUGCGGAAGAGAUAAGUGCUGAAAGCAUCUAAGCACGAAACUUGCCCCGAGAUGAGUUCUCCCUGAGACUUAGAGUCUCCUGAAGGAACGUUGAAGACGACGACGUUGAUAGGCCGGGUGUGUAAGCGCAGCGAUGCGUUGAGCUAA
rnacentral:rRNA from 1 species